CGAACGCUGGCGGCGUGCUUAACACAUGCAAGUCGAACGGAAAGGCCCUGCUUGCAGGGUACUCGAGUGGCGAACGGGUGAGUAACACGUGGGUGAUCUGCCCUGCACUUCGGGAUAAGCCUGGGAAACUGGGUCUAAUACCGGAUAGGAGCCAUUUUUAGUGUGAUGGUUGGAAAGUUUUUUCGGUGUAGGAUGAGCUCGCGGCCUAUCAGCUUGUUGGUGGGGUAAUGGCCUACCAAGGCGGCGACGGGUAGCCGGCCUGAGAGGGUGGACGGCCACAUUGGGACUGAGAUACGGCCCAGACUCCUACGGGAGGCAGCAGUGGGGAAUAUUGCACAAUGGGCGCAAGCCUGAUGCAGCGACGCCGCGUGGGGGAUGACGGCCUUCGGGUUGUAAACUCCUUUCGCUAGGGACGAAGCUUUUGUGACGGUACCUAGAUAAGAAGCACCGGCUAACUACGUG
rnacentral:rRNA from 1 species